GCACAUUAGAUCAUCUCAACUUCAAUAUGUUCUUUGAACUGUUCAAGAACAGCAGUCAGCUUUGAACAGAUUAAAAAUGAAGAGUCACCAUACCAACAACAAACUCAACAAACAAAAGUUAAAUGAUAACAAGUCUUCUGAUGCUUACUCCUGUGCAAUAAAUGAUCAAUUGCAAUAUUCACAAGUUGCUCAGUAAAAGAAAAUACACUGGAAAUAGGCAUAUUUUCUGAAGGGCAGCAUUUCUCACACGCAUGAUAAAAUAUUGAAACACUAAGAAGUGUAAGUAUUCCUUGAGU
rnacentral:misc_RNA from 1 species